GGGGAUUUUUCCGCAAUGGGCGAAAGCCUGACGGAGCAAUACCGCGUGAGGGAGGAAGGCUCUUGGGUUGUAAACCUCUUUUCUCAGGGAAGAAAAAAAUGACGGUACCUGAGGAAUAAGCAUCGGCUAACUCCGUGCCAGCAGCCGCGGUAAUACGGAGGAUGCAAGCGUUAUCCGGAAUGAUUGGGCGUAAAGCGUCCGCAGGUGGCUGUGUAAGUCUGCUGUUAAAGAGUCUGGCUCAACCAGAUAAAGGCAGUGGAAACUACACGGCUAGAGUGCGUUCGGGGCAGAGGGAAUUCCUGGUGUAGCGGUGAAAUGCGUAGAGAUCAGGAAGAACACCGGUGGCGAAAGCGCUCUGCUAGGCCGCAACUGACACUGAGGGACGAAAGCUAGGGGAGCGAAUGGGAUUAGAUACCCCAGUAGUC
rnacentral:rRNA from 1 species